UACGUAGGGUGCGAGCGUUAAUCGGAAUUACUGGGCGUAAAGCGUGCGCAGGCGGUUCGUUAAGUUCGUUGUGAAAGCCCCGGGCUCAACCUGGGAACUGCAAUGGAAACUGGCGGGCUUGAGUGUGGCAGAGGGGGGUGGAAUUCCGCGUGUAGCAGUGAAAUGCGUAGAGAUGCGGAGGAACACCGAUGGCGAAGGCAGCCCCCUGGGCCAAUACUGACGCUCAGGCACGAAAGCGUGGGGAGCAAACAGG
rnacentral:rRNA from 1 species